UUCUGUUGUGAUUGGUCUUUCCGUAUACAAUGCGUGUCAGAAACAAAACGCCUAUUACCAUAAUUAUUUUUUUUUGCUCCUGAGUGUUACUUAUAAACAAAUAUACUAUAAGGUUACAAAAAUGGCAUCGAUAUUACCUUAUCAGUUCAAGCCCUGAGGAUGAUACCAAUGCAGUUGCUCAACCGGAAACUCCAUCGCAAGUUUGACUUGAUCAGGACGUUUCUCACUGUAAGGGGGCGUUUGACACCAGUGCAGGUGAAGAACUCUCCCCGCUGUGCUCCAUUUGGUGCCGUCCUUCACCUCGGCCACUGACCGGACGGUCAUCGUCCCGCAUGGCUCCUCACGGACCGCCAACAAAUGCUGCCACAAAUGGAUCUAAUUGGCACCUCUGCAUGCCCCGUCCAGAGGAGGGCAGAGAUCAGAAAAUGGAUCAGCAUAUGAAUUUGGAGCCACGUGAGGAUCCCAUCCUGGCAGCGCGAGCUCGAGUUCGACAGGGAACAAUCACAUCUUUAUAUGGCUGAGAAACUUAAUCUGCAAGAGCGUCGAUACCAGAAACCCAUCAAGGCCAUGACAAAACCCCUAAUGAACUUGUCUGGGAAAAAUCAGGGCUGCAGUCUCAGCCGGAGAACGGCGAAGGGCCCGAUGGGAAGGGCCAGGGCCUCUUGUAAAGCGGCUUUAGCGUGUUUUGGAAGAGCAGGGUAAGGAAUAAUCUCCUCAGACUGACAGGAGCUUCUCCUUUUCUCCGUUCUUUCUCUUUCUCCUCAACUGUGGGAGUUCGUCUCCUCUCC
ensembl:lncRNA